rnacentral:rRNA from 1 species
UACAUAGGGUGCGAGCGUUGUCCGGAAUCACUGGGCGUAAAGGGCGCGUAGGCGGCCCCUUAAGUCUGAUGUGAAAGCCCACGGCUCAACCGUGGAGGGUCAUUGGAAACUGGGGAACUUGAGUGCAGAAGAGAAAAGCGGAAUUCCACGUGUAGCGGUGAAAUGCGUAGAGAUGUGGAGGAACACCAGUGGCGAAGGCGGCUUUUUGGUCUGUAACUGACGCUGAGGCGCGAAAGCGUGGGGAGCAAACAGG